UCUUUUCAUUUAUUUGUUAGGCAUUGGUAUAUCUUGUUUUCAAAAAUACCUAUUCAUUUACUGUGCAUGUUUUAACUUAAGUUAUCUUAUUUGUCCGUUUAUUUAAAGAACUCUUUACAUAUGCUGGAUAUAACACCCUUAUAAGGUGUAUUACUUGCAAAUAUUUUCUCCUAUUUUGUGCAUUAUCUUUUCACUUUCUUGACAGUGCCCUGUGAUACACAAGUUUUGAUGAAACUUUAUUUAGGGGAGGGCUUGCUCAUGCUUUUGGUGUAAUACAUAAACCAUUGACUAACCAAACGUUAGGAAGAUUUAUACCUAUGUUUUCUUCUAAGUAUUUUAUAGUUAUAGGUCUUGCAUUAAAUUCUUUGAUAUGCUUUGAAUUACCUUUUGUAUAAGGUGUGAGUUAGGGGUUCAACUUAAUAUUUUCCCAUGUUGAUAUCCAGUUGUCUCGUCUAUUCAGUAUUUUUAAGCAUGAGAUUUAGAAAUAUAAUUAAAAUCACUCUUUCAUUGAGAUGAAAUGAUAGGAGGACCAAUCGACCAUGGAACCAAUACGGUCAUGCUGGUUGAGAUUCUUAGGUUUUGAAAACAUAGAAAUAAUAGUGUGGUGAGGGAUUGUAACAAUCUGUGUUUGGUCAGGAAAACUUAUACAUACAAUGAUUUUAGAGUAAGAAUUAUAUAAAUUAAGGCAAUAAUUUGGGAGAAAUCCAAACAGGGAACUGUAUGAAAGGCUGGUGGAUCAUAGAGAUAGUCACUGGCAACUAUAUCCUGAAGGUCCAGGUUGGAUGGAGAAGCCAAAGAUCAUGGAUAUGUCUGAGAAGUUACUGCUCCUCGAUGCGUUAAAUGUGUUAGAGCUUGUGGGAAGGUUUGCAAAGUCUUUAUUUGGUCACUGGGUUCUCCCGAAAUUGACAUUUUCUGCUUCACUCCUGCCUUCUAAAUUCCACACAGGUCUUUCUCACUGGCAAACUUCAGUGAGAACUACACAGCAUUUAAAAGAAAAAAUAAUGGCCACAGCGGACUAGGACAGAAGAUAAUGGGAUAAGCAACAGAAAGACCAAACGCACGGGGAGAGGUGGACAAAAAAGAUGUGUGUGAAACAAGGGAUUUUAAAACAGCCCACAUAUACCAGGGAAUAAAAGUAUCUGAGAAAUCUAUAAGCUGUCUUCUCUUCUGCAAACAGAACGUGAAGGUGAAGACAUAGUGGUAAAUGGCAUGGCUAAGCAUUAAAGCAGUGUCAGCUCAGAACCAAUCUGCAAAUACUGAGAAGCGGUGGUCACUGUGACAAUAAGAGCUGUGAGAUAAUGGGGGCACAGAGGACUAGAGAGGAGGCUGGGUCUUUGAUGACUUCCUAGAAUAUCCUGCAGUACAACGGCUAGACAUCCUAGUUAAAAGAGACACUCAUGGGCCGGCCGAGUGGCGCG